GCGCCCCCCUACACACACCCCACACCCACAGUCGAUAAAUUUAUCACACAGGGUGUUAAUGGGCCUUGCCCGACAUGGUGAUCUGGUUACCAGUGCCUGUGGCUGAGGAACCCCCGCAGAUCAGUCCCGUCCCAUUCCCUGCCACACUCCACCGCCAAGAUGUUGGUGCUGUGGACAUGCUAUGUCUGCUGCUGGUCAGCAUUCCCACCCAGCUGAGUGAGAGCAGUUUGCUGGUACCCCACAUCCGGGUCAUCUUUGCAAUGAAACCACCAUCACAUGCACCCUGGUGGUUCAUUACAUUGUUGAGGACUCAGCACUCAUUACCAUGGUCUUCUCAUCUCCAUCUGCAUGGUAAGGGGCCGGCCACUUUCACCCCAUGCAGCAGUGAGGUGCCACAGGCAAGCUUCAGCCCUUUUUCUGGCAAAGUGGGGAACCCCACCCAUUACAGGCCUAAGGCAGGAGGAAGUGCCACCUCUUUUCCUAAUGAAAUGGGGAAUCUUGCUGCUCGGUGGCAUAGAAGAAAUCUUUUCCCCGAGGAAAAGGUAAGGCUCACCCCUUGCUGACACAGAAGAGGGGAAAUGCCAGCCUCUCAGCCUUGGGCAUGCAACAAGAGCAUCCCCUCUCCUCCAGUGAACAAAGAAGUCCACCUCUUACAUGCAUAAAACAGGAAGCAAUCCUGCCCGCUUUGGGGGAGUUGGGAAAUAUUCCCCUUUCAAACAGAGGGAACAUCCUGCCUCUUUCUUGUGGUAAAAAGGGAAGUCCUCCCAUUUUCAGUCAUUCAGGAGGUCUAUCCUUUUCUCCUGGUGUAAUAGGAAGUCCUGCUCCUUUCGGAUAGGUGACAGGAAACCCUGCCUACGCCUGACAUAAACUAGGCGCCAUCCAACCCUUUUCCUGGGUAACAGGAAGUCCCACCUCUUUCAGAUUUGGAACUCCUGCCCCUGUCUGAGAUCAGCCUGGGAGAGAUGAUCCAUGUCCAGGGCCUGCAGCUGAGCUCACCAGCCUUCAUGAGCAGCACCUACAAGGCCAUGAUCUACAGGCAACCUGGUAUCUUUGGUCCCAGACUGACAUUGGCCAGCUGGUCCCAGACUGACAUUGCCAAGAUGACCACAGGUCACCUGAGGCCCCACUUCCUGGCUGUGUGCCUGCCCAACCGGGUCUCCUUGGACUGCAAAAUUGGCUACAUCACAAACCAGGCAAGCUGAAGACAUCCUCUGUGCCAGGCGAGUGGGCAGCUGGGGAGGAGAACCCAGGAAGGGUCCCCUCACCCCCGCCGCAGCUGAUGACGGCCCUCCCCUACCCAUCCCCCAGGAAAUCCUUCUAUUCUAAGCAUGCCUCUUUCGGGAUGUAUGCCAUGGUGCGUCUGAUGGUGAGUGCUGGCGGGAGACAGGCCACACACCCGGUGAGGUCAGAGAAUGCUCCAUUGUCCCCCGCCCCCACCCCCACCCCAUGCUUGGUGCCAGCAGUGCCAGGCACAGCUUCCAUGGAGCUUGUGUGUGUGUCCCUGGAGUUGGGAGGGCAAGAAUGGGGAGGGCCUAUCUCCUCUUAAGGCUCAUUCAGUGUCUCUGUCCCAGAAUGGCAACUUCCAGAACCCUGUCUCCUCUUCCCUGCAGCUGGAGACGGCCCGUGCCAGGCUAGGUCCAUGCCCAGGGCUAGGUUCCACCAGGAGCGGGUGGGAGGGAAAUCAGAUCCAGCUGAGGUGCAGGUCCAAAGUUUUGGUAGUGAGGUGGCAGGAGGGGCUGGGGAGAAGGGAACCCGCUGGGAAGCAGCCGAUGACCCCGUGGACAAAGAGAGCAUAGAUUCUGGUGGUGGAAUUGGAUCACAUACAUGGGAGCCAGCCCAGAGCACCUGGGCACGCGGUGAACAAACACAAUGACACAGACAGCGGCCCAGGCCACGGGGCAUGUGACAGUCACACGGAUGUUUUCACACCAGCAACCCAGCAACAUUUCUUCCUGAAAGACAACCCAUUCUGCUGCCAGCCUUCAAAAAAGAAAA